rnacentral:lncRNA from 1 species
ACUAGUGAAGUUCUUGAUGUUCUUGAAGUUCUCAGUAUGAGAGAAUAAAAUACUCUUAGGAUGCUGGAGCCUUUAAUUCCUAAAUCAAUGGUUUCUAGGGUUUUUUUCCUUUCUGUAGAAUACUUCUUCAUCAACAAAGGCUUUUAUGACUACCACAUGAACACAUUAUUGUACUGUUUUAACAUAGUCUGUGACAUGGGUGACCAAUAAGCAUAUGAAGAACUGUAAAAAAUCUAGCCGUUUGUAUACUUCAACAUGUUUACUUUAUAUCACAGUAUCUUCAAGUGUAGCAGGUUAUCCUAAUGUUAUAUAAAUUUUUGCAAGUGGGAAACUUAGUUUUUUCCCCCACAGUUGUAAUUUCUCAAUCAUAAAAUAAGCUUUUUAGCUUAGAAUGAUAUAUUAGCUUUCCCCUGUCCUCUUCACUCAUGAACACUAGCUACU